rnacentral:rRNA from 1 species
UAGGGAAUAUUAGUAAUGGGCGAAAGCCUGAAAUAGCAACGCCGCGUGUGCGAAGAAGGCCUUCGGGUUGUAAAGCACUUUUUGAGAGGAUGAGGAAGGUCGGUACUCUCAGAAUAAGUCUCGGCUAACUACGUGCCAGCAGCCGCGGUAACACGUAGGAGGCGAACGUUAUCCGGAUUUACUGGGCGUAAAGCGCGUGUAGGUGGUUUGGUAAGUAGGGCGUGAAAGCUCCUGGCUCAACUGGGAGAGGCCGUUCUAAACUGCCGAACUAGAGGAUGGUAGAGGGAGGUGGAACUCCGGGUGUAGCGGUGGAAUGCGCAGAUAUCCGGAGGAACACCAGUGGCGAAAGCGGCCUCCUGGACCAUUCCUGACACUCAGACGCGAAAGCUAGGGUAGCAAACGG